GUCAGGUUAUGUCAUGGCCCACCCCUGACACUCUGUCAGGUUAUGUCAUGGCCCACCCCUGACACUCCGUCAGGUUAUGCCAUAAGUUCACUUCAGUGGACCCCAAGACCAUGUAAGCUGAACUUUCCAGCUGAGGCUAACUGAGGUGAAACACUGAUCGUGCCAGGGGGACUCCAAGGACCUUGGUUUUUCCUUCUCAUCUUUCCCUACAGAAGAUCCUUUCAGGGAAGGAGAAGGCUUCUGUAUCUGCCAUACAUAUCCUCUGUGAUCACCGGACACAACCAGAACCCACCAGGAGCUGACCACACCCAGCUGACAGGAGAUGGGCAGCUUCUUCUGUUACAUGGUAUGCCACAAUGGACUUCCUCACUACAGGCCCAAGAGCAAGACACUGUGAACAUUCUCGCCAAAGCCUUCAAAACUAUCACUGGGAGAAGAUACCUCGUUAUUAUACAUAUGGAUGUGUUUCCUAGAAGGUCCCAGGCAGCCUAUGGCCAGAUCCCAGCGACCUUUAUGUAAGGAUAUGGCAGGUUCCAGGAUGCAAGAAAAGAGGGAAAGAGGAAGCUGGUGUGUGACUCUGAGUGUGGCCCAGCCUUCUUCAUGGUCUAUUGGCACAUCCUUCAGAGAUCUACCAGCCUGACCUGGGAGUGGGCUUAGGAACUGCCAGUCACAACAAUCAUGGAUAUAUUCCAUUUCUACAGCAUCUUUGGAGAGGGCAGUAGUUCCUGUCACCAAAUUCAUUGCUUAGAUCAUUCUAAGCCUUUCACAGCGGUGAAGGAAUCUUUCUCCCUGCAUCCUUUAUUCAUUACUUAAAAAAAAAGCGACAUUAAAUCUGCCAUUGCUUCCUGCUAAUUGCCUGUAAAUCAGCCAUGUGUGAAGUUCUACACGUUUAUCCACCAGCCUAAAGUUGCAGAGUUCCACACCGCAAAAGGCCCUGAUAGGAAACCUGUCAUUCGGCCGAUGGAACAGUAAUAGAUGUGGAAGUGAGUGAUGCAUAAUGGAUCAUGGGAUUUAAAAUCCAGCAUCCACAUCCGAGCUGCUGAAAAGGUUAGCGGAUUAUACGGCUGCAGCCACAUCAAUUAUGAAAUAGAAAAUACUCAACCUUGCCUUCCAUCUCGGAAGGUGGUAAACAUUUUAUCCUGCUUUCUUCUGUGUGAGCUAAAGACUCUUGCUUUUAUGAGUCAUCCUGGGGUGUAAGUGAGCGAAGGGGAUAGGGAAAAAC